GCUAGAUCACUUAGCGUGUUAGCAGAGUUACUGUGUGCACGUCUCAUAAAGGGCCUCUUGCUGCCUGGGUGUGCACGCGCAAUAACUGAACGAAUCAGGUGAUACGUCCCUGGAUGGUUGUGAAGCUCUAAGGAAAAUCCCCACAGAUCAAACUCCAAACUGUGCUCAAAUGAAGGUCGCAAAUCUGUUUAGAAGGAGCUCAGACCCACGGGUUUGGAUUUCUGCAGGAAAAGUCAGCAGCGUAUAAAUAUAGAAGACAUACAAUAAAAUGCGGACGCGAUAUUGCAAUAAUUAUGUUAAGAAGGCUUAGUGGAGCUACCUUUUUGAAACAUCUGGUUUGUUUCUGGUCUUUCCACAUCCUGCAGAUGUUGCCGAAGCCAUGAAAUACACUGACAGGAGAAUACAUUAGCUCACGAAGUCAUUCCCAUGAAUAAAGCAAAGGGUAGCCUCUUAACUUUCUAAAAA
rnacentral:lncRNA from 12 species